UCGUUGUAGCAAUACGAUGGAAAGUCUAGUGGCGAACGGGUGCUUAACACGUGGGCAACCUGCCAGGAAGUGGGGGAUAGCUCGCCGAAAGGCGAAUUAAUACCGCAUGUGAUUAGAAAGGACAUCCUUUCCAAAUUAAAGUCGGGGCAACCUGACGCUUCUUGUGGGGCCCGCGGCCUAUCAGCUAGUUGGUGUGGUAACGGCUCACCAAGGCUUUGACGGGUAGCUGGUCUGAGAGGACGACCAGCCACACUGGGACUGAGACACGGCCCAGACACCUACGGGUGGCAGCAGUCGAGAAUUUUUGACAAUGGGGGAAACCCUGAUCGAGCGACGCCGCGUGGAGGAUGAAGGUCUUCGGAUUGUAAACUCCUGUCAUUGGGGAACAAGGUGCAUACGUUAACUGCGUGCGCAUUGAUAGUACCCGAAGAGGAAGAGACGGCUAACUCUGUGCCAGCAGCCGCGGUAAUACAGAGGUCUCAAGCGUUGUUCGGAUUCAUUGGGCGUAAAGGGUGCGUAGGCGGCGCGGUAAGUCGGGUGUGAAAUCUCGGGGCUUAACUCCGAAACUGCAUUCGAUACUGCCGUGCUUGAGGACUGGAGAGGAGACUGGAAUUCACGGUGUAGCA
rnacentral:rRNA from 1 species